rnacentral:rRNA from 1 species
UACGGGGGGGGCAAGCGUUGUUCGGAAUUACUGGGCGUAAAGGGCUCGUAGGCGGCCAACUAAGUCAGACGUGAAAUCCCCAGGCUCAACCUGGGAACUGCGUCUGAUACUGGAUGGCUUGAAUCCGGGAGAGGGAUGCAGAAUUCCAGGUGUAGCGGUGAAAUGCGUAGAUAUCUGGAGGAAUACCGGUGGCGAAGGCAGCUUGCUGGGACGGUACUGACGCUGAGACGCGAAAGCGUGGGGAGCAAACAGG